AGUCCAUGGUGAGGGCAAAGUUUGAGUAUAUUUUUGAAUCUAUCCCAAGCUUCAUAUAGAGAUUCUUGUCAACUUGUCUGAAACUAGCAAUCAAAUUCCAUAUGUGU